GAUGAACGCUGGCGGCGUGCUUAAGACAUGCAAGUCGAACGAAGCUCGGGUAGCAAUACUUGAGUUGAGUGGCGAAUGGGUGCGUAACACGUAGGUGACCUGCCCUGAAGCGGGGAAUAACAGUUCGAAAGGACUGCUAAUACCGCAUGUGGUUGCGGGGUUUUGAAGCCCGCAACGAAAGGUCGGCUUGCCGAUCACUUCAGGAGGGGCCUGCGGCCCAUCAGCUAGUUGGAGGGUAAUGGCCUACCAAGGCAACGACGGGUAGGGGACCUCAGAGGGUGACCCC
rnacentral:rRNA from 1 species